CUGGGCAUCUCUUCUCUGUCAUGAAAGGGCUCAAGGAACAGCGUCAGAGUCAAUCCAUCUUUCCUGAAAAUCAGGAUGUGCAAGUCCUGGAAGAACCUCCGGCUGCUGGAGCCCUUCCCCAUCCGGUGCUCCCUGACCACUGGCUCUGCAUUUUCUCCUGGAGACUCCCAUGCAAGCCAAGGGUUAAUGGAUAGUCACACCUAUUUAAGCUCUGGUGGCAGGAAGGAAGGAAAUUCGGGACACAUUCCAGGAGUUGAGGCUGAGGGGGUGUGAUCCCUGCGUUGUUCAAUGCCCUGCUGUGUGCCAGGCAGCAGAGACACACCCAAAGCUCCCGAGGAGACAAAAAGAACCCUCCCUCGUCGCUGGCCAUUCCAGAAAUAAUUGACACCUUCUCCCCGAUCCUGGCUGCUCCUGAUGCAGGGACUCGUGUGACAGAUGAGGACGGCAAAGAGGAGUGAGGAGCUUCUCCCUGCAUCUGCCACAGCCAACAUUCCGAGUGCCCUGGAAGCUUGUGCCUUCUGCUCGUCGCAAGGACAGGCAGCCCCAGUCCCUGCUGGCUCGUGUUCCAGGGACAGAGAUCUGCCUUCCCCUGGCAACAGCCUUGGGAUUCCACGCACAUCCCUGCUCUGGGAGGAGCCAGCCCGGCGGUGCUGCCCCUCUCCCCAUCGGGGCUGUGCCUCAAGGAACGAGCGCCAGCCCAGUUAAACUCUCACAACAUCUGCAGGAGUUUGCAGCAGGGCUGGCGAGAGGAUUUGAAUUCUCUGCGACCUGAACUCCUCAUUUAGGAGCUGACUGCUGCUUACAAUGCUUAAUUUGUUACUAAGGGCUCAGUUCUAGAAAAUCCCCAAAUAUGGGAGCCCAUGAAGAUGCUGAAGGUCUGCAACACUUCCCAGUGAAACCCUGAAUUUAACAAUCAUCCCCCAGCACUCACCCAGCAGCUGCAAAGCACAAACUAAAUGGAAAACCAGCUGCAGUCUCGGCCAGACAAACCCCAGUGCAUUUACUGGUUUGCCACAGUGAUGUGUGGAUGUGGCACCAGGGGACAUGGGGCGCUGCUGGGGGAUGGUUGCACUCGGUCUCGCAGGGCUUUUCCAGCCUAAAGGAUUCCAUGAUUCUGGUAUUUUCUGACACCUUGCUGAUAUUCUGUGCUCUGUUGAGGACUCCAGAGCCAGUGUCCCCACUGCCACCAGCCUUCCUGUGCCACCACACCUCCCACCUGCUCCAGUUCCAUCCCGUACCCAGCACGGUGGGGUCGGGGCCCCUCUCCCACAGGACGCAGAGCCCCUGGGGCUGCCAAGCCCCACAGGGGACCCUCUCCAUGUGACCAGCAGGAUGGCACUGCCCAGGUGACACUUGGCCCCCAGUGCCACCCUCCAGCAUCUGUUCCCUUCACGCAGAGCCCCAAACCCCCUCUCCCACCCCAGCUCCCUCUCCUUCCCUGCAGAUCUCCCUGCCUGCCUACCCACUCCAGCUCCUGGAGCCUCAGAAUGUUCUCAAAAGCAGAUUUGAACAUAUUUGACCCAAGGCUGGACUCACUGAUCUCAGAAGACUUGAGCCUCACCUGAACGAGUCCCCCAGAGCCACACACACACCCUGAUCUGCCCCAGCACCAUCCCCAGGGCUUUGAGUCUGAGGGGAACCUCAAACCACACCCCUGGAAAUGUCCCCAGGUGCCAUCCAGGGCACAGUGGGACCCUCAGUGCUCAAACCACUUCCUAAAGCUCAGCUUUGGGCAAUUUGGGCAGCUCAUCCCACUGCACCUCCAGCAGAGCUCCUGGGAGGACCAGAGCCAGGGUUAAUUUGGUAGAGGUCAUCAGGGCUUUGAGAAUGAAGCUACAAAUCCCUUUAAAAAUAAAAAUUAAACCAAUUGAGGCUCACCUCGCUGAUAAACUGUGAACCAAGCAAGAAGUGGAGUUAAUUAUUCUGUUAAAGGCAGAUUUUCCUGCCCACACUUGGAAUUAUUUCUGCCAUCCCCCCACAGAUCUCCGAUAACGUUAAUGAACUCCAGGAUCUGACUGUGGGAUCACUCGGCUGCGUUGAAAUACUCAUGGUGGGGAGAGCUCCUUGGAAGUGAUAAAGGAGGAACCUCUCUGGUUGCCCAAAUUAGCUGCAGCAUGCUAAGAGGAACUGCACCAGAGCCACCUAAUGAGAUGCAAACCCUGCCAGCGCUCUUCUAUCAAUAUCUCCCAGAGUAUUUCCUGUGGGGGCUGGGCUUUGCUGGGAUCUGGAAUUCCCAGUCAUUCCCAUCCCCCUGCUGGGAUGAGUUCGAGCCAGACUGGAACACCUGGAGCAAGGUGGGAAACUUCUGCUCCUGCAUGAGCCCAGAGCCCCGAGUGCCACGUCCAGGAAUUCCUUGGGCACCUCCAGGGAUGGGGACCCACCCUUCCAGUGCCCGACUGCACAAAGUCUGCAAGGAACUCCCAACCUCUGGAUUUUUCCUUAUUUUCAGGAAAAAAGUUGCUUUUUCUCCACUCAAAUCUUCUGAAUUUGUACUCAAUAAAAAAAAGCCUGAUUA